rnacentral:rRNA from 1 species
GCGAGUGGGGGGCGGGAGGCGUGGGUAAACGUGGGGGUGCAAUCGGUGGUCGGAAUGAGUGGGGGUAAGGAUCGCGUAGGCGGGCUGUCGCGUGGGCUGGGAAAACCCGGGGGGCAACCCCGGGCCUGCAGUCGGUACUGGCAGACUAGAGUGCGGUAGGGGAGACUGGAAUGCCGGGGGUAGCGGUGAAAUGCGCAGAUAUCAGGAGGAACACCGGUGGCGAAGGCGGGUCUCUGGGCCGUAACUGACGCUGAGGAGCGAAAGCGUGGGGAGCGAACAGGAUUAGAUACCCCAGUAGUC